rnacentral:rRNA from 1 species
UACGUAGGGGGCAAGCGUUGUCCGGAUUUAUUGGGCGUAAAGAGCGUGUAGGCGGCUUGGUAGGUCCGCUGUGAAAACUCGAGGCUCAACCUCGAGAUGUCGGCGGAAACCACUUGGCUAGAGUCCGGAAGAGGAGAGUGGAAUUCCUGGUGUAGCGGUGAAAUGCGCAGAUAUCAGGAAGAACACCUAUGGCGAAGGCAGCUCUCUGGGGACGGUACUGACGCUGAGACGCGAAAGCGUGGGGAGCGAACAGG